UACGUAGGGUGCAAGCGUUAAUCGGAAUUACUGGGCGUAAAGCGUGCGCAGGCGGUUGGGCAAGACAGAUGUGAAAUCCCCGGGCUUAACCUGGGAAUUGCAUUUGUGACUGCACGGCUAGAGUGUGUCAGAGGGGGGUAGAAUUCCACGUGUAGCAGUGAAAUGCGUAGAUAUGUGGAGGAAUACCGAUGGCGAAGGCAGCCCCCCGGGAUAACACUGACGCUCAUGCACGAAAGCGUGGGGAGCAAACAGG
rnacentral:rRNA from 1 species